ACAAAGCACUUUAUAAAAAAAUUCUCUGCACACAAACCCUAUAAUUUUCAUAUAACUAUCAUACUAAAGAUAAAUUCACUUUAAAGCCAACACUUAGAACAUUUUUAAACAAAAAGGUACCAGUACCUAAACACAGACAUUAACAAAUACAAGAAUACUGUACUGCCAAGAGGUUUAACCAAAUGCCUUUUGAAAGCUUCUGCAAAUAGGUUAAGAAAACAUAUGUGAGAAUUUGCACCCCCCACCCCCCAUCUCUCCAAUCUCUCCAAGAGGAAGCUUACUGCCCAAAGGCAGACUCCUCAGCCCGCUCCCAACAGCAGUACAAUAUUGAAGGAACCACUGAGCAGAUGAAACGCUUACAUCACAAGCCCAUUUUAUACACGUGACACGAAGACACAGACUGUGAGAAUCCCAUUAAGUCACUGAGAAUGUGAACAAACACACGUGGCAAAAACCAAUUUACAUAAAAUGUAAGCAUAUUCAUAAGAAUUAAAGGCUAUUCAGGUUUCUUUUUUAAAUGUUACAAAACUUUUUUUUUGUCAUUUUUAGGCACGUAGUUUUUGUUUUUACUUGUUUUUUUCUUCCUUAUCUGCAGUCAUGAGCCUACUGAGAAAGGCCUACGGAAGGGACUCUUUCAAGGAGGUAACAGGGAGAUUUUUUUUUAAGAAGUGCAGUUCAUAUCUAAUUUACACAGUGAAACUAAUCAC
rnacentral:lncRNA from 1 species